rnacentral:lncRNA from 1 species
UAAUGGAGGGUGGUGUGAAAUUCAUCAUAAUGAAGAUUCUACUUAAUAUAUCUGGUAGAUAUCUGAUUUGUAAAUACAGGCAUCUCUGGAACAAAUUCUACUUCAUCCCACAGGAAUUCUGAUUGAUAGCAAAAAGAUUCUAAUUUUACAGAUAAACUGGGUGCAUUUAAAUCUCUUUAAAUUGGUAUGCACUUUGUAGUAUCUGGAAAAAAAAUAACCUAUCUAACAUGAAUUUUCAUCAUAAGACAGAUGGUUUGAUUUAUGUCUCUUCACAUUUCCACUUUGAUGAAUAGUCAAUAUACAAUCUAACCCAAUAUCAUUUUAGGGGUAAAUAUUGUUUUAAUCUACAUAGAUCCACAAUAAUAAUAAUAAUAAUAAUAAUAAUAAUAAUAAUAAUAAUAAUAAUAAUAAUAAUAAUAAUCCCCCCGCAGGUGCCACCUUGACGUGGUGGGGGGGCUUAACUGCUCCAAUGAUGACUGAGGGCUGUGCUGGCGGUAGUGUAACUACCGGCAGGUCCAACCAAGCCAGAGAGGCCUCAGCUGAGGAGCAGAACUAAGAGCACCUAACCCAUUAGCAUUAUGGAGAAUCAAACUCAAAUGAAGUCUAUACUGGCUCGGUCGUCGCCCAGGAUAAAAAGGACCGCGGUGGAUGCUGCUGAUUCUGGACAUCCAUCGACAAGUGGGCUACGGAAUCAUCAAAACCCAAAUGAACAAUCACAGAAGCAGCAGAAAUACACAAUGCCAGAAAACCGGACAAUUAUGAAAUGCUACUACAAAUCUGAACCUCAAAGGCGUGGCUACCAAAAAAGGAUGCAUCAACUGUGGAAACAAGAGUACCCUGACUCACAGAUAACAGAACCCCGACUGGCUGACCAACGAAGAUUCAUAAUCAGAAACAAAGUGUUCAGUGAAGUUGAACUUGAAGAAAUCCAGAAAAUUUGCAAAGUAAAUUACCAUCAGACCACAGCACAGACAGCAGCAGAGACUCCAGCAACACUUGGAAUGGUGGAACAGAUUGAACCAGAAGAAAGUGUGGAGCUUUUGCAAGAAUUUGAAGAACCAGCACUUGAAACAUCUGCUGAACCACCAGGAACCUUGACAGCAAGACAACAAGAGCUCAAGGAUAAGAUCAUGGCUCAUGCUGCAGCAAAUGCAAUAAAAAAGCGGCUCCCAACUCUAAAAACAGUGCCCAAGAGACACCUGGCGCCUCUCAUGAAAGAUGUGAAUACAGUACUCUCCAUUGUCCAAAUAACAUCAAUUGAACAAACAAACCAGUAUGCCUACACUGCAGCAGUGAUAGUAACGGAAGAGCUUGGGCUCCUACAACCAAGGCAGCUCCAAAGAAAAUCGACUGUAAAACCAAAGUGGAAGGUCAGGCUAGAGUUGAAAAUCAAAAAGCUUAGAUCAGAUGCAAGUAACCUGAAAAAUAUGAAAGAGAAGAAACUGAAGAAUGACAAAAUCAAGCAAUACCUGAUCCGAAAGUACUGGCUGAACACCAGAAAAAUUGAAGAAGCUUUGGAAAUUGUGAAAGAACAAAUUACAGCAACAGCCAGAAAAAUUGAAAGGUAUGAAGCCAGAAUCAUCCAGUACAGACAAAAUCAACUGUUUCAAUCAGACCAAAGACGGUUCUACCAGAGUUUGAACCAAACAACAGAAACAGUAACCAUAAAGCCAGAGAAAACUGCAACAACGAAGUUCUGGAAAGAACUUUGGGAAAAUAACAAAAACUACAACAAAAACGCUGGGUGGAUAAAGGAGUUCGAAGGAAAAUUCUCACAGAACAAAAUGGAACAGAUGGAAAUAACAACUGAAAUGAUCAGCAAACGAGUGCAAAAAGUCAAGAACUGGACAUCGCCUGGUAGUGAUCAACUUCAUGGAUUUUGGCUCAAACAUCUGAUUAGUUUACAUGGAAAAAUGGCCCAACAAUUCAAUGAGAUGCUGCAGAAAGGAAGUAUCAGUGAAUGGCUAACAACUGGAAGAACAUACCUGAUACAAAAGGAUCCAGCAAAAGGAGCAGCACCAGGAAACUACAGGCCAAUAACGUGUCUGCCCACUAUGUUUAAACUACUGACUGGCAUCAUAGCUGACAGAAUUCAAGACUAUCUUGAAGAAAAAAAACAUCUUGGCAGAUGAACAGAAAGGCAACAAACGGAAAAGCAGGGGCACAAAAGACCAGUUAUUGAUUGACAA